CUACGGGAGGCUCCAGGCGCGAAACCUUUACAAUGCACGAAAGUGUGAUAAGGGAAUCCCAAGUGCUUUGCUUUCGGGUAAAGCUUUUGUUAAGGGUAAGAAGCUUAACGAAUAAGUGGUGGGUAAGACUGGUGCCAGCCGCCGCGGUAACACCAGCGCCACGAGUGGCAAUCAUGUUUAUUGGGUCUAAAGCGUUCGUAGCCGGUUUGGUCAGUUUUUUGUGAAAUUGUUAGGCUUAACCUAACAACGUGCAAGGAAUACUGCCAGACUUGAGACCGGGAGGAGAUAGGAGUACUCUUGGGGGAGCGGUAGAAUGUUAUAAUCCCUUGAGGACUACCUGUGGCGAAGGCGCCUAUCUAGAACGGUUCUGACGGUGAGGAACGAAGGCUAGGGGAGCAAAACGGAUUAGAUACCCGCGUAGUC
rnacentral:rRNA from 1 species